rnacentral:lncRNA from 1 species
AUUUGGAUUAUUUGCAAUAGUCAUACUUCUUAGGUUAGGUGGCUUUAUAUUCUCAAGAGGUACACUUUCAAUAGAUGUAAUGAUGUUUUUAUUUUUCAAGUUAUGUAACCUUAUUAUAUAGUUUUUUUCCCUUUUGAUUUCUUCUUGAAUUGAAACUGAUAAUAUUAAGAAAUGAUGGAUGUGUGCAUAGAAGGCAAUGAUAGAUGUCAACUGUUGUGACAUAUGCAUUGCUGCCAUUAUCUUAGUUCCAAUAUCAAUUAUUAGAAGUUAUUUAUUUUGUUUAUCAUGUCACAUGACAGGUAUUUCCUGUUGCUCAAAAGGAAUUUUGUGGAUUCAAUCCUUUUACAAGUAUGAACUCUCUCUCAUCUCUGGUCUUGAACUUGUUUGAGCGAGCUUGAAUACCCACUUUUCCUUUAUUCCUCGUAUCUCUUCCUUUAUUUUGGGUGCAAAAUAUACUAAACUGACGUGUUCAUGUUGUGCAGCAUUUGUGUGCUAUAGAAUUAUUUUAUANNNNNNNNNNNNNNNNNNNNNNNNNNUCUACACAAACUUAUAAGCUAUGUGGUUUGGUACAUCUCUCACUCUUCAUUCUCAAACAUAGGAAAUUCACACAAAGGUUCAAGUUAUUGACAUCUAUCUAGUCUCUUUUUAAUCCACACAAAGGUAAGCUCAAAUAUGCCUAUUUUGUCAAAUAACUUAUAAAAAUUAGUUUUGAUAAUAAUGUCUGUCUUGUAUUUGAUAACAUACCUUAAUUAAGAUAGUAAUGUGUUUACAAAUUAGUCUCAUCUGAUAUUUAGAUUUGGUUGGGUUGUUUAGUGUCAUGUUAUUUUGCAUUUGAAUUAUAUCUCUCAAUGCUACUACAUAUAUAGACCCUUAGUAAGUUGAUUAAUAUGUUUGAAUUAUAUCUUUCGUGAUUUUAGGCUUUACAAAAUGCUGCUUAUAAAGCUGAUUGGUAUGUUCUCAAUAUAGUGUGCAAUAUGUCACAAUCUACGGAAGUUGUUCAUGAGGUAAUUUUCCCCAAAUCCUAAGUAUUGUUGUCUCUUUUUAUGUAAACCUUUAUGUCACAAUCUAUUUAAAUUAGUUCACCUUUAAUGAACUUUUUCCUAACAGUGUUGGAAGAACUUCACAUGUCUAUAUAACUGGUUUAUAUAGAAUUGAAAGAGUUUGCAACUCUGCAUCAAUAUACUUUGUUGGAACUGAAGUUUUACAUUGACAAAAGUAUUUACUGACUAGACGUUCACAUUUGAUCAUAUUCAAUUUUAGAGCCAAAAGCAACAAAUAGUUAUGAGUGCAGCUAUUAUGUCAUGAUACACAUGUUGAACAUUGUAUCUACUGGUGUUGUUGGUUCAUGGACCUAAGUAAGUAAUAUAAUUUAUGUAUCAAGCUGUAUCAAUUGAUUAGUACUAUUGUUUAUCUAAUUGGUGUAAGAGAAAACAAGCUAUAGUACAUGACGAAAUUUGGAGACAGAUCUAAGUUUAAGUUUUUUUAUUCUUUUUGUCCAGGUACGGUUACAAUUUUAAUGAUAUGCAGUUGCCCCAGCACAUUAAGAAGGGAUAUGAAGUUUUUUCAAGACUUAGAAUAAUUCAUUAUUGUGUUGGUUCUCUCUGUGUUAGAAUUGUAAUUAGUUUGUAGUUAGUUACUUAUUUCUUCAUGAGUGAUAUUACCCCUUAAAUUAGUUUGUAAAUCUGUUCUUAUGUAAUUUAAAUUGGGGAAAUAAAUUACUCUCAUUUGGAUAUUUGGUUGGCAAAUGCAAAUCUACC